rnacentral:rRNA from 1 species
CCUACGGGAGGCAGCAGUGGGGAAUAUUGCGCAAUGGGCGAAAGCCUGACGCAGCGACGCCGCGUGAGGGAUGAAGGUCUUCGGAUCGUAAACCUCUGUCAGCAGGGAAGAACGGUCACUGUGCUAAUCAGCAGUGAAUUGACGGUACCUGCAAAGGAAGCACCGGCUAACUCCGUGCCAGCAGCCGCGGUAAUACGGAGGGUGCGAGCGUUAAUCGGAAUUACUGGGCGUAAAGCGCUCGUAGGCGGUAUGUCAAGUCAAGGGUGAAAGCCCCGCGCUCACCGUGGGAACUGCCUUUGAAACUGGCAAACUGGAGUGUGUGAGAGGAUAGUGGAAUUCCAGGUGUAGGAGUGAAAUCCGUAGAUAUCUGGAGGAACAUCAGUGGCGAAGGCGACUAUCUGGCACAUAACUGACGCUGAGGAGCGAAAGCGUGGGUAGCAAACAGGAUUAGAUACCCCGGUAGUC